CAAUAGCGUAUAUUAAAGUUGUUGCGGUUAAAAAGCUCGUAGUUGGAUUUCUGCCGAGGACGACCGGUCCGCCCUCCGGGUGAGUAUCUGGCUCGGCCUGGGCAUCUUCUUGGAGAACGUAGCUGCACUUGGCUGUGUGGUGCGGUAUUCAGGACUUUUACUUUGAGGAAAUUAGAGUGUUUCAAGCAGGCAUACGCCUUGAAUACAUUAGCAUGGAAUAAUAAGAUAGGACCUCGGUUCUAUUUUGUUGGUUUCUAGAUCUGAGGUAAUGAUUAAUAGGGAUAGUUGGGGGCAUUCGUAUUUAACUGUCAGAGGUGAAAUUCUUGGAUUUGUUAAAGACGGACUACUGCGAAANCANNNGCCAAGGAUGUUUUCAUNGA
rnacentral:rRNA from 1 species